rnacentral:rRNA from 1 species
AUUGAACGCUGGCGGGAUGCUUAACACAUGCAAGUCGAACGAGUGGCGGACGGGUGAGUAAUAUAUCGGAACGUGCCCAGUAGCGGGGGAUAACUACUCGAAAGAGUGGCUAAUACCGCAUACUCUUGGAUCUGCCGAUAUGUGAUUAGCUAGUUGGUGGGGUAAAGGAUCACCAAGGCAACGAUCCGUAGCUGGUUUGAGAGGAUGACCAGCCACACUGGGAUUGAGACACGGUCCAGACUCCUACGGUAGGCAGCAGUGGGGAAUUUUGGACAAUGGGGGAAACCCUGAUCCAGACAUCCCGCGUGUAUGAGAAGGCCUUCGGGUUGUAAAGUACUUUUGGCAGAGAAGCGGUAUCUGCAGAAUAAGCAACGGCUAACUACGUGCCAGCAGCCGCGGUAAUUC